rfam:Streptomyces avermitilis MA-4680 = NBRC 14893 DNA, complete genome.
ACCCGUUGCGCGCAGCCGCGAACGGCGUGCGCGACAAGCAGACACACACCGUGCCACGGGAAGAACGAGGCACUUCAGGGCGUU